GCUCUGCCGUGGUGGUCUUCUGCUCUGCCGUGGUGGUCUUCUGCUCCGCCGUGGUGGUCUUCUGCUCCGUCGUGGUGGUCUUCUGCUCCGCCGUGGUGGUCUUCUGCUCCGUCGUGGUGGUCUUCUGCUCCGCCGUGGUGGUCUUCUGCUCCGUCGUGGUGGUCUUCUGCUCCGCCGUGGUGGUCUUCUGCUCCGUCGUGGUGGUCUUCUGCUCCGCCGUGGUGGUCUUCUGCUCCGUCGUGGUGGUCUUCUGCUCCGCCGUGGUGGUCUUCUGCUCCGUCGUGGUGGUCUUCUGCUCCGCCGUGGUGGUCUUCUGCUCCGUCGUGGUGGUCUUCUGCUCCGCCGUGGUGGUCUUCUGCUCCGUCGUGGUGGUCUUCUGCUCCGCCGUGGUGGUUCUCUGUUCUACCGUGGUGGUCUACUGUCUGGCUCUGGGGGUUUUCUGCUCUGCUGUGGUGGUCUUCUGCUCUGCCGUGGUGGUCCUCUGCUCCGCCGUGGUGGUUCUCUGUUCUACCGUGGUGGUCUACUGUCUGGCUCUGGGGGUUUUCUGCUCUGCUGUGGUGGUCUUCUGCUCUGCCGUGGUGGUCCUCUGCUCCGCCGUGGUGGUCUACUGUCUGGUUCUGGUGGUCUUCUGCUCCGCCGUGGUGGUCCUCAGCUCCGCCGGCUCUGCCUCAGUCCCUGGUCUCUCCUAUCCUUGGACCUGGCCCUCCCCUGUUCCGCCUGUUCCGCCUCCGCUCCACCGCCCACCUGGAUCGUUUAGUGUUUGGAGCGUCUGGAAGCCGGGGGGGCUCUGGGGGCUCUGUCACGAAUUCGGUCCAUGGACUUCCGUUUAUUCACCACCAGAGGUCACCCUUUCCAUUACAUUGACUCUCGCACAACACAAACUGUUGCAUAGCACCCCGGACUACAUAUCCCAUCAUUCUUUGCACGAUUUGCACACUGCACUGAUUGCACUCAUUGCACACAGCUGUUUCUAAUCACCUCACUCACUAUAUAACACCCACUCUAACCACCUUUCUCUGCUGAGUAUUGUUUAGCCCGUG
rnacentral:lncRNA from 1 species